rnacentral:rRNA from 1 species
GACGAACGCUGGCGGCGUGCCUAACACAUGCAAGUCGAGCGGGGAUUUAAGUGGAAGUUCUUCGGAAUGGAGAUUUAAAUUCUAGCGGCGGACGGGUGAGUAACGCGUGAACAAUCUGUCCCGGACAGGGGGAUAACACUUGGAAACAGGUGCUAAUACCGCAUAAGACCACGGCCUCGCAUGGGGCUGAGGUAAAAGGAGCAAUCCGGUUCGGGGUGAGUUCGCGUCCGAUUAGCUAGUUGGUGAGGUAACGGCCCACCAAGGCGACGAUCGGUAGCCGGCCUGAGAGGGUGAACGGCCACAUUGGAACUGAGAGACGGUCCAAACGCCUACGGGAGGCAGCAGUGGGGAAUAUUGGGCAAUGGGCGAAAGCCUGACCCAGCAACGCCGCGUGAGGGAAGAAGGUUUUCGGAUUGUAAACCUCUGUCCUAUGGGACGAAGGAAGUGACGGUACCAUAGGAGGAAGCCCCGGCUAACUACGUG